AGUAAGGUCACUUUACACAUUUCAAGAUCAUUCUCAGAGCACACUGACAAGAUGCUGGGGACCCUCUGCACUCUCAUCACUGCUCUAACAUGUGUGAGUGGUGUGACAGUGGUGACACAGACGCCUCCUGUUGUGACAGUGAGGAAAGGAGAGACAGCCACCAUGGACUGUAACCUGGGGAGUGUUACURRCAGCRGUGCACGUUGGUACAAACAGAUUCCUGGAGAAGUUCCUCAGUUUGUGCUGAMUUUUYAUCRCMGCKMUAGUUCACCAACCUACGGUUCUGGGUUUUCAUCUCCAAAGUUCACAUCAACUCAUCAGUCCACAACAAAUUAUCGUUUAAUCAUMAAGAGUGCAGAAGAGCCUGACUCUGCAUUUUAUYACUGUAAGACAUGGGAUGGCUCUGUCARUAAUUAUGUAUCACAUUCACGGUUGGAUUUAACAAAAGUUUAUGUGUUUGUUCGAAUAUCUUUAAAAAUAACUCUAGCUUCUAUUAGUGCAGACAAGACCAUAAACCACAGUUGA